GAGGACUUCACUCUCCCCGGCGGGAGGGGGGGUCGGGGCUCUGCCCUCUCCUAGCAUGGCACUAGCUGGGGGAGGCGUCCCCAUGGCCUCCUCAACCCUGGUCGGGCUGCCUGUCGUAGUCGGUGCCGCGGCCGGGAGCUCCUCGGUGCUCCCAGGCACGGCUGCAGCCGUAGGCUGCUUUGCGGUCUGCGGGGCCGCGUCUGCAGCAGCGCAGACUGGCUCACUCAUCCCCUGGCCAGCGGCAUGGCCGGGGUUGACAUCCGACGCCGUGCUAAAGGAACAAAAAUGCAAUAAAAAAAACAAAAAUCGCUGAAAUACGUAAGUCGAAGACUUACAGGUCUGAGCGACGGUGGGUCGCAGUGACCCUCCUCCUCAUCCGGCC
rnacentral:lncRNA from 1 species